rnacentral:rRNA from 1 species
GUUGAACGCUGGCGGCGUGCCUAAUACAUGCAAGUCGAGCGAACGGACGAGAAGCUUGCUUCUCUGAUGUUAGCGGCGGACGGGUGAGUAACACGUGGAUAACCUACCUAUAAGACUGGGAUAACUUCGGGAAACCGGAGCUAAUACCGGAUAAUAUUUUGAACCGCAUGGUUCAAAAGUGAAAGACGGUCUUGCUGUCACUUAUAGAUGGAUCCGCGCUGCAUUAGCUAGUUGGUAAGGUAACGGCUUACCAAGGCAACGAUGCAUAGCCGACCUGAGAGGGUGAUCGGCCACACUGGAACUGAGACACGGUCCAGACUCCUACGGGAGGCAGCAGUAGGGAAUCUUCCGCAAUGGACGAAAGCCUGACGGAGCAACGCCGCGUGAGUGAUGAAGGUCUUCGGAUCGUAAAACUCUGUUAUUAGGGAAGAACAUAUGUGUAAGUAACUGUGCACAUCUUGACGGUACCUAAUCAGAAAGCCACGGCUAACUACGUG